rnacentral:tmRNA from 1 species
GGGGAUGCAACGGUUUCGACGGGGAUGUUGAAACAUCGGAAGCGAGUAGUGAUGGGCAUCACUUAAAAAUACCCAAAUUUUUAAAUAUAAACGCUAACAAAAAUUUAGCUUACGCUGCCUAAUUUUCGCAGCCGUCUUGCCUUUGAGUACCACGGCAAAGGAUAAGGCGUCUACCAGUGGUGCACAUGAACCGCCUUUUGUUUUGUGGGCGGUCACGACUUAAAAACUACCGUAGCAUAUGGCUUGACUGUGGGCAGUAUGUGAGGGGAAUCUUAAUCACAGCCUACACUCGUAGAGGCUGAUGCGGAUAUGUUUUCGGACACGGGUUCAACUCCC